GACUUUGGCUAAAAAAAUAAACUGUCAAAGGAACUGGCAUUUGCUGACUGGACUACAGCACAUCUCGAAGAAUCUGCAGACUGAAACCUUCAAGGCAUUCAUGAAAUGGUCUUCCCUUAGUUCCCCUGCCUUUUCCACUCUUUCUGCCAUUUGGAUUUCACACUGGAAGUUCAAGAGAUGACAUCAGAAAACAGAAAAGCCAGUGGGAAAGGCAAGGAGAUUUGGAAGAGUGUUUGAAAAUUUUGGCAAUCAAGAAUAAGAAGGUGUUGAAAUCAAAUAGUUCCUGCUGGGCACUGUGGAGUAUUUAUCAGAAGUCAGUUAUAUUGCCAAUUCCCGACCAGUUUUACUUAAGACACUUGGGUGUGGAAAGAUAAUGCUGUCUAUGAAAUAAAU
rnacentral:lncRNA from 1 species